GUAAGUCACAUUUUCACAAUUAUUUCUAUAAUUUCUUUAUAUAUAUGAUGAUAAAUCUGGUUUCAGGGGAUUCUGUUUUUGUGCAUUUUCUGAUGCUUUUCAUUGAAUCUCUAAGUUAUGGGAUUCAACAAUUGUGUUAUCUUUUGUUUCCAUUAAAUAUUGUUCUUUGUUGGUUCAUCAGGAUGCAUCUCGUAAGAAAUUUUCUGGGUUGAAUUCAUGGUCAAUUUUGGGUUUCGCUAUGAUUAUUUCUGUGAAAUCUAUAUGAGUUUCGGC
rnacentral:lncRNA from 1 species